UACAGAGGCCUCGAGCGUUAGGCGGAAUCACUGGGCUUAAAGCGCGUGUAGGCGGAUCGUUAAGUGCCUUGUGAAAUCCCACGGCUCAACCGUGGAACUGCUGGGCAUACUGGCGGUCUUGGGCCACUCAGGGGUUGCCGGAACAAACGGUGGAGCGGUGAAAUGCGUAGAUAUCGUUUUGGAACGCCGAUGGUGAAAAACAGGUUGCUGGGGAGUGCGCUG
rnacentral:rRNA from 1 species